ACGGAAGGCAGCAGUGGGGAAUAUUGGGCAAUGGGCGAAAGCCUGACCCAGCAACGCCGCGUGAAGGAAGAAGGUCUUCGGAUUGUAAACUUCUUUUAUGAGGGACGAAGGACGUGACGGUACCUCAUGAAUAAGCCACGGCUAACUACGUGCCAGCAGCCGCGGUAAUACGUAGGUGGCAAGCGUUAUCCGGAUUUACUGGGUGUAAAGGGCGCGUAGGCGGGAAGGCAAGUCAGAUGUGAAAUCCAUGGGCUCAACCCAUGAACUGCAUUUGAAACUGUUUUUCUUGAGUGCUGGAGAGGUAGACGGAAUUCCUUGUGUAGCGGUGAAAUGCGUAGAUAUAAGGAGGAACACCAGUGGCGAAGGCGGAUUGCUGGACAGUAACUGACGGUGAGGCGCGAAAGUGUGGGGAGCAAACAGGAUUAGAUACCCUGGUA
rnacentral:rRNA from 1 species